rnacentral:rRNA from 1 species
AGCGAACGCUGGCGGCAGGCUUAACACAUGCAAGUCGAACGGGCGUAGCAAUACGUCAGUGGCAGACGGGUGAGUAACGCGUGGGAACGUACCUUUUGGUUCGGAACAACCCAGGGAAACUUGGGCUAAUACCGGAUAAGCCCUUACGGGGAAGGAUUAUCGCCGAAAGAUCGGCCCGCGUCUGAUUAGCUAGUUGGUGAGGUAACGGCUCACCAAGGCGACGAUCAGUAGCUGGUCUGAGAGGANGAUCAGCCACACUGGGACUGAGACACGGCCCAGACUCCUACGGGAGGCAGCAGUGGGGAAUAUUGGGACAAUGGGCGGCAAGCCUGAUCCAGCAAUGCCGCGUGAGUGAGGAA